rnacentral:rRNA from 1 species
CCUACGGGAGGCUGCAGUCGAGAAUCAUUCACAAUGGGGGAAACCCUGAUGGUGCGACGCCGCGUGGGGGAAUGAAGGUCUUCGGUUUGUAAACCCCUGUCAUGUGGGAGCAAAUUAAAAAGAUAGUACCACAAGAGGAAGAGACGGCUAACUCUGUGCCAGCAGCCGCGGUAAUACAGAGGUCUCAAGCGUUGUUCGGAAUCACUGGGCGUAAAGCGUGCGUAGGCUGUUUCGUAAGUCGUGUGUGAAAGGCGCGGGCUCAACCCGCGGACGGCACAUGAUACUGGGAGGCUCGAGUAAUGGAGGGGGAACCGGAAUUCUCGGUGUAGCAGUGAAAUGCGUAGAUAGCGAGAGGAACACUCGUGGCGAAGGCGGGUUCCUGGACAUUAACUGACGCUGAGGCACGAAGGCCAGGGGAGCGAAAGGGAUUAGAUACCCGGGUAGUC